rnacentral:rRNA from 1 species
AGCGGCGGAUGGGUGAGUAACACGUGGGGAACCUGCCCCUAAGUCUGGGAUACCAUUUGGAAACAGGUGCUAAUACCGGAUAAUAAAGCAGAUCGCAUGAUCAGCUUUUGAAAGGCGGCGUAAGCUGUCGCUAAGGGAUGGCCCCGCGGUGCAUUAGCUAGUUGGUAAGGUAACGGCUUACCAAGGCGACGAUGCAUAGCCGAGUUGAGAGACUGAUCGGCCACAUUGGGACUGAGACACGGCCCAAACUCCUACGGGAGGCAGCAGUAGGGAAUCUUCCACAAUGGACGCAAGUCUGAUGGAGCAACGCCGCGUGAGUGAAGAAGGUUUUCGGAUCGUAAAGCUCUGUUGUUGGUGAAGAAGGAUAGAGGUAGUAACUGGCCUUUAUUUGACGGUAAUCAACCAGAAAGUCACGGCUAACUACGUGCCAGCAGCCGCGGUAAUACGUAGGUGGCAAGCGUUGUCCGGAUUUAUUGGGCGUAAAGCGAGCGCAGGCGGAAAAAUAAGUCUAAUGUGAAAGCCCUCGGCUUAACCGAGGAACUGCAUCGGAAACUGUUUUUCUUGAGUGCAGAAGAGGAGAGUGGAACUCCAUGUGUAGCGGUGGAAUGCGUAGAUAUAUGGAAGAACACCAGUGGCGAAAGCGGCUCUCUGGUCUGCAACUGACGCUGAGGCUCGAAAGCAUGGGUAGCGAACAGGAUUAGAUACCCUGGUA